rnacentral:rRNA from 1 species
CCUACGGGAGGCAGCAGUGGGGAAUAUUGGGCAAUGGGCGCAAGCCUGACCCAGCAACGCCGCGUGAAGGAAGAAGGCUUUCGGGUUGUAAACUUCUUUUCUGAGGGACGAAGAAAGUGACGGUACCUCAGGAAUAAGCCACGGCUAACUACGUGCCAGCAGCCGCGGUAAUACGUAGGUGGCAAGCGUUAACCGGAUUUAUUGGGUGUAAAGGGGGUGUAGGCGGGGAAGCCAGUCAGAUGUGAAAACUCAGGGCCCAACCCUGAGCCUGGAAUUGAAACUGGUUUUCUUGAGUGCCGGAGAGGCAAUCGGGAAUUCGGGGGGAGCCGUGAAA